rnacentral:rRNA from 1 species
GACGAACGCUGGCGGCGUGCCUAAUACAUGCAAGUCGAACGAGAGCGACCGGUGCUUGCCCUGGUCAAUCUAGUGGCACACGGGUGAAUCACACGUGGGUAACCUGCCCAUCAGAGGGAGAUCACCUCCGGAAACGGAUGCUAACCCCGCAUAGGUCUUCGAGCCGCAUGGCUUGAAGGGGAAAAGCGGCGCAAGCUUCUGCAGAUGCAUGGACCCGCGUUGCAUGAGCUAGUUGGUGUGGUCACGGCUCUCCCAGGCGGUGAUGCAUAGACGACCGGAGGGGGUGAUCGGCCACAUGGGAAGGGAGACAGGGACCAUGCUACUACGGGAGGCAGCAGUAGGGAAUCGGCCGCAAUGGUCGCGAGUCUUACGGAGCAACGCCGCGUGAGUGAAGAAGGUGUUCGGAGCGGAAUACUCGGUUUUUAGUGAAGAACAAGUUCUAGAGGAACUGUUAGCGCCGUGACGGUAUCGAAUCAGAAAGCAACGGCUAACUACGUG